UGCUCAGCAACUCCUAUCCCUACCUCUUCGUGGUACCGGUCGGAAACUAUGAGCAACCUUAAGGAAGAUUGGG
rfam:Aedes albopictus isolate Foshan contig135740, whole genome shotgun sequence.